UACUGCACCAUCUCUCUGCCCCGAUCCAGACGACCACCUCUCUGCCCCGAUCCUCCUGACCACCCACCGCCGACCUGGCUCUGGCGAGCCACCCACCGCCGACCUGGCUCUGGCGAGCCACCCGCCGCCGGCCCCUGGCUUUGGCGCCACCCACGGACGCCUCGACACGCCACCCGACACCGCCUCCUGCCUCCGGCGCUCUACCCCCGCUGCCCCCACAACCUCGACGCGCCACCCUCCUCCGUCCCCGCGGCCUCGACGCCCCACCCUCUCCCGCCACCACGGUCUCGACGCGCUACCAGCCGCAGACCCCCUGGAUCCGGCUGCGCGCCACCGUUGACGCCCCCAAGUCCCCCACGGCCCAGACGCGCAAAUCCCCCACGGCUCCUCGGACCAGAAGCACCUCCUGCAGCGAUCCCCUUAGCCUCGCUGUCGCUCCCACCCAGACCCGGAUGCAUCUCCUGCAGUCGUCCCCUCCCCCUGGCCCCGACGAGCCUCCUGCCGCCCCUCAUCCCCGACACGCCUCCAGCGGUCGGACCUCCAGAAGCAGAGCAGACCCCAUGCUCCUGCAGGUCAACUGGGACUCCCACGGACGGUCAAUCUCCACUGGCGCCCUUGCAUCGUCUCUUGCAUCGCAAAAAGUCCUUCUCCCCCUUUAAACUGCCAGCGAUGGCAGCGGUGUCCGGGUUCAGUCUUGCUCGCCUCCUGACCAACCACCGCCUCCCCAUCCCUCAGGGCGACCUGCAGCUGGGGGAGGUCUCGAACUACAGCUGGAGGAGGUCUCAACCUGCAGCUUAUCGCGUCUGCCGCUGCCGCCAAGGUCCACAUACAGUCGAUGCUGCGGCAACCACCCCCGCCACUGUCUGUUGCCGAUGCGUGCAACCACGUUCAGCCGCCCACUGGACGUGGGCACAGAGGCAGGGCCACGCCGAGGGAGCUCGAGCUCCACCACCCGCAGCCGCUUCCCCUGCAGGUUGUACACCCCACCGACCACACCAUCUUCUUCUCCUCCUCUGUUCUCUUGCCUCUUUGCUUCUGAAGUUCAAGAUGUUUUAAAAAGCGGAAAAACAAAAGGCAGAAGUUCAAAGAUGAAAUUUGAAGAAGGAAAUAUGCAACAAUCAAAGAAGUGGCGGUCUCAUUACAGAGAAGGAGAAUGCCUUACGAUCCAGCCGAGUUGACUCCUGCCAUGGGCACUACAUAAUUAUCACUGGAUGCCCAUGGUCACCGGUGCUGGAUAAUUAGCACUGAAUGACUUGCAAUCGAGAAGAAAGUUGUGCCCAUAACCCGUGGAGAUCUAUCACGUUGUGCAGUUGGUCGUGAUGUCUCCUGGAGCUUCAAUUUUAUGACCCUGAUGCAUUUUCUUCUUUUUUGAUGUGCCAUUUGAAGUAUAAAUUAUCACUAGAUGCCCAGGCGUGUGCACAGUAUGUGUUUGUGUUAGUUCCGGACAGGUUCCAUCAUGUACUAAAUGGUGAUGGAUAGAGAGAUCCAUUAUUCAUUUGUAUAGAAGUUCAAAUUUAAAUAAAAUAGAGGUUCAAUGUUUAUGAAAGCUACUUUAGUAAUUCUUUAUUAAAAGUGUACUCGUGUUGUAGGUGGA